AAGGGAAACGACUUGGGGCUCACGUAGGCAUAGCAGAAUGAAACUUCCGUACAUUUUAAUCUGAAUAAUUCUUCAGGAUUGAAAAUUAUUUGGUUGUGCCUUGGUUGGACUGCGCUGGGAUCUCGCUGCCUCUACGUUUCCGGAGUCUUUAGUGAAGAGAUGAUUUUUUUUUUUUUUUUUUGAAACUGGGUUUAUGUGCGUCCCCCUCACCCCUCCUCUCUUUUUUCUUUCUGCCUCUGUCGUCUCUCUCGCUGGCUUUUUUUUUUUUUUUUUAAAUGAGGAUCCGUUCCAUGAACAUUUUGCACAGAGCACAGAAUUGCUUCUAAAGUCAGCCCGGCGCAGUUGCAAUAGACAGCAAAAAGGUAAACGUUUGCCUGAAAUCCGCACGGCAGCUUCACCACCCCGCCCGAUGGUUCUGUAACAAUCAAGAACACGUGAACACCUACCUGUGGGAGGAGGCUUGGGGGCACACUGUUUCUGGUGCCUGCUGAAGCCAGCAUUCUGGAGAUGGACAGCCGUUCAAGGAAAUGAAGGGAGAUUUUGUAAAUUGCAGAUUCUAAGCAGGACAAGGACUGUUGCUUCCCUGAAUUGGCCUGCUUUCCCAGAGUAUCUUAAAAGGUCUCUUGAAACAAAUAAAAUCCUCAGAACUUCUGGGACUAUCACAGACAGUGUCCUGUUACUGGCUUUAAACAGUCCCUCAUGAGGAAGAAGCCCUAUAUCCUGAAGUCAGAUGUCAAUCAUCCUGGGAAGACUCAGCCAAGAAUACAUGCUUAGAAGAAAACUGUUUCAAGCAUCGUCAUUUUCGUGGAUGUAUCUGCACAGUCCUCCCUUUCCACAAACACCAACACUGAAGCCCCGACGCUGGGAGUCUCUGAUACAGGGGCGCUCAAAGAACGAAAGUCUGCAGCCUUUGUUCCUUUGUGUGUUCAAUAAGUAUCCCCUGAUGCACUCACCUGCUGCACAAUAUGGGAGGAGCUUUUCUGUGGGAGCAGAGGCCACAGAUUAAGACCCUGGAGAAGAAUUGCCAAAAGGAUUUACUUUUAAGGAAGCCCAUGAUCCUAUAAGAGUGAUCAUCAGUGUAAAUCAAAUCAAAAGACUUAGAUGCUCUCUCCAGCUCUCCAUCUCCCAACACCCAGAAGAGGUGUCAUAUGCGGUUUUUCCUCUGCACCACAUCUUCCAACUAUGAUGUCUAUCAUCAAAAAGUCCAGAGCAAUGAGAUCACAUCAUGGUGAACAGAUACCACCGUAACUCCCAGCAUAAAGAGAAAGCUUGACCCUAGACGUGGAGUGAAUUGAGUGUGCAGGUUCCUACGAGUUCACUGCGGUUCCAGUGGGGAUUGGGCAGGCUCCAAGCACUAAAUAACCCUAAUGAUAUCAGGACUGGUCCUGUUUGGUCCAUCUUAACACUGUUGGUUAACAGUGGACUCUGACUUUCAUGAGGAUGACUGGACAUCCUCUGGGAUGCCAGGAGGCUGCCCUUCCCUGCUUUGACUUUGUUCUGUCAGACUUGAUAAGAUUUUGACUUCCAGUUAAAACCUGCCAUCGGGUGUUCAGCAGGAGAGUGAAAGAGCGCCAAGCACACUGUACCAGCAUCAGAGGCUGAGCCUGCCAGCAGAACUGACUCUGAUGGAAAAGGGUGUCCUAGGGCUCCUGAUGCAGCUGCUAUCUGCAGACCUCCUGGACUGUCAGGGGAAGGGAGUGGGAGCUCCUGCCACAGAUGGGUGGAACAUCGACAAGAAGGGCUAAAGGUGGCCAAAAAUAACAGUGCCUUCCAGAUGAGGUGACCUCAGAGCCAAGAGCAUCAUGGGCUAGUGGCCUGCCAAUCACAGGACAUCAGUCUGCACACUGCCCAGCGUCUCCUCCAGGUUCAGCUUUGACAUCGUCCUCCGGAGGGCCUACUCCAAUCUCAGGACUUUCAGGUGAGGUUCUAUCUUUGGUAAGCAUUUCCUCCACCCAGUCACCACCGAAAGCACUUUUCAUCUGGACCUUUAGUCUCUGAAUGCCAACCAGCAUGGAAUUCACCUUUAAUCCUCAAAGAAGUUGGGUUCCUUUUCUCUUAGUACAAAGCCACAUAUCUCCACUGUGGAGAAUUUAGAACACACAGAAAAGCAACAUUAUAUUUAUAUACACCAUUACUACCCUUUGAUGGGGGCCCCUCUCGAUAUGAUGAUUUUUAUAGACAAAAACCCGCCAGCACUUAGAUGAAAAAGACUUUCUUCCGUGCUACUGGCUGGCUGGUAGAACCAGUUCUAUGGGACAUCAGUGCCAGGCUCCAGCUGAUUAGAAUAGGGUUAGCUAUCUGGCCCUGGGUUAGGCGUGGGUCUGUUCUUUCCUUGAGAUUAAUUCAGAUGGUAUCUGAGACUGGACCUGUGAUAUCUCACUGAGGUAGAAUUAGUCACUGUACCUGGAAAAUGAAAGCUUUGCUGGGGAAGGUGGUUUGUAGGAGAGAAUGAAGGAGGCUGCGAGGCACUGAGGAAAAGUCAGAGUUAAAGGAGCAAGAAUGCCUUACACCUGACCCCAGUGUUUUCAGUGACUCUUCUCAGGUGGCUUUGCAUCCUGAUCUUGACUCUGUCCUUGAGCAGUGUCUAUGAGAUCCUAAUACCUCCAUCUAACAAUGGUUAUAUGGUUGCUUUUUGUAAACUCCCUUUGCAAAUGAAUAAGAUGCUAGAAUCCUUCUGUGUUUCAUAUGGUCAUCCAGAUUAUAAUUUUCAGUGUGGUAGGUCAAGUGCUGUGGGGGAAGGGCACUGCAUUCUAUGUGAGCCACUUGCUCUCUGGUGCGGAAUAACACUGAGUUCACAGGCCCUUCCUCGUCUCUUUUGCUGUGUGAUUCGGGUGACAGACACUCUGUAUCUCAGUGUUUUCAUUUGUAAAAUGGUAAAUCACAAGGGAUCUUAAAGUUCCUAGACUUAAACUUGCCACAUAGCAGAGAGUGACCUUACACUUCCGACUAACCUGCCUUCAUGCUGACUUGCUGGGGUGCCCUGACGAGGUGCCAUGGUUAAUCAUCGCAAACCGGUUCUCUGCCAACAGCUCUCCUAUUUCCACCAUGUUAAAGCACAACCGCAAGAAUACUUUCAGAGCUGAGCACUUAGGCACUGGUAGCUCCUUGGGUUGAGUGCCCCCAUGCUAAAAUACUGGACCAGAGAUCAGAAGCACGAAACAUGCAUAACUGUGGUCCAGCAUCACUGUCCCUGCAGUGUGUCUGCUACCCCCGCCUUUGCCAUCCUCAUCUUCUGCCUUCUUUCGUGGCUUUGGAGACAGUGCAUUUCCUUCCAUGUGGUGUGUGCUAUACUCAACUUUCAACAAAAUGAAGAUACUGUCACAUCUGACCUGUGGGACUCUUUCAGGUGAAAUUUAAAACCACUCAGAUAGUCACUUCCAUGAGAGGGAGGUAUAGAUUAGGCUCGGAGAUACACAGGGCCAACGGGUUAGAUUUCCAGGCUACUAACCACACUGGUUGCUUUGCAUCCUUCUUGUGAAAAGUUCCAGAUGGUUCUAAGGAAGUCAAAUAUUGACUGAAUUUUGACAGUGUCUAUAAACUUUUUAGAUUUUGUAAAGUGUGCUGAGAAAUAGGAUCAUUCAGAACAUGAACGCAUUUAUUCUUUGUUGUGUCUGGAGUCACCUACGAGCCUACUACAGCCUCGUAGCUUGGAAGAACAUGGGUAUGGGACUUAGUGAUCUGCUUUUAUUUAUUUGUUUAAGUUUUUUUUUUUUUUUAACAACAUCUCAUUAUGCAGCCUGGAAUUUGCCAUGCAUUCCAGGGUUGGUCUUGAACUCCUGGAGAUCUGCCUGCCCCUGCCAAUCAGUGCUGGGGCUAAGGGCAUGCACCACCAUUCCUGGCUUGUGGCCUACUUUUUGAGGUCCACAUUGUGCUAUGCACUGAGAGGAAGGACAAAACUACCCACGUGACCUUGGUCCUUAAGGGGCAGAGUGUAUUGGGGAAGUAGAUAUAUAAAUAACUAUAAGGGAAAGAAAUCCUAUCAGGAUGGGGUCAUGCAUCUUUGAGAAAGUCCAGAAUUAAGUAUUUUAAGAGUCAAGGUCUACACUUUUAGUCAUUCAGCUGUUACAUUUUUUUAUUCUGCUCAAAUUGAUAGAAUUCUGGUUGGUCUUUUUGUUUGUUUGCUUGUUUUAAUUUAAUGUCCAACAAUGAUCAACAGGAAAUCUUUAGGCAAAGAUUUUUGUCUUUCAAAACAUGGACAUAUUGGCAAUAUUGAGACCCAGUCUACUAGGUCGUAGACAGAGGGAAUGCCAAUAGCAAAGAGGAGUUGAUGUUUUAGUUAAUAAAGGGGUUUUCCAUUGUUGUCAUCUUAAACCAUUGACCCUACUCCGGUCUGUUGUCUGAGGCCUUAUUCCUUUCUGCUAGCUGAGUGUGAGCUGCAGCCAGAGCUUAGGGGAGAAUCCCUAGUUCUCAUACAAAGUGUCGGGGAAGGCUUAGUAGUUUCUGCCAGAGAGGAGGCAUAUAAGGUGAAGAGGAAUUUGAAAAGUAUGGAGUUUUUACAGAAGGACCUUCAAACAAGAGAAAAGAGACUAAGACAGCAUGGAUGUGUACUAGAAGACUGAGAGGUUGACAGCUAAGGAUCCCUCGCAAGACCCAUGCUCUACACAUCUGUGUGCAGGACCUGGCAAAAGCCGGACCGACAGUGCAGGUGAUGUAGGCGAGAAGAUGCAGGUGUGAGGAAUGGAUGAAGAGACUGCCCACAGCGGUUACAGGAGAAAGCUGGAAGCGAAUCCCAGCCUUUGCUAACUAUGGAGCUUACAAACUCACCAUUAGGAUGCUGUGCUUACAGGGGCUUAAGAGAAGUUCCCAAGGCGCAAGUUGGAGCA